ensembl:lncRNA
CUUUUUGGAACAGAGGAUACAUAACAGACACAUAUACACACACAGACAGCAUCAUGUUCAGCAGCAUGUCACAGUCACAGGAGUGCAGAGGCUUCAAACACAGCGAUGAAACAGGUGGACCCUACGCUUUGAUGCUGCUGUCCUUUACAGGCGUGUCCGAACUGUUAAAACUCUUGUGAACGUGCUUCACAGCAGCAGGCGCCUGAGUCAUCUUCUUCUUCUUCUGCUUUAUGGCGGAUCGCCACCUAUCUCUCAAAUACUGAAAAAACAGUCACCUACAUCUUGGAUACCCUGGGGAAAGUACUGAGGAUGAGUUUGAAAUAUCCUUUGUUUGUCAUCGGCCUGAUGAUCUGGACAUACUACAGGAAGAGACGGAAUUCAACAAGAAAGAGUUGCAAUUCCUCUACAGGGCCUUUAAAAAAUUUAAAUGUUCCUCUACUUAGAUUAUAUAAGGAGAAACGUCAGCACAUAAGCUGGGAAUAUCAUCCUUUGUAUGGCAUAAAUAAUUGUUAUCUUAUUUCUCUAUUGUAUAACCUUAAUUAACAUUUUCAUUAUUUUUUUUCUUAAAGGCAUAUAAUCAUUCAUUGCAUAUUAAAUUAUGUUGAAGGUUUUUGGCCACAGUGGUGCUUUUAUAGGGUUCAUUUUAAGAACUGUUGUGCAUUUCAGGAAUGUCCCAGUGGGGUGGUGACUGAGGAUGUGUUUAAAAUCAUUUACUCUCAAUUCUUCCCACAGGGAGGCUGAUUGGGAGAUGCUUGCAGGGAAGGAAACACACGUUGCUGAAGGAGGUUCUGACAAACAUUUGCAUUCACCUGACAUGUAUCUGUAUAAGAGGCUCAACUCCUGCUACAAAAAACUUCCCACAAACCAUGGCACUUCCUCCUCCUGCUGAUGAGAGACUUCAUCACUGCAAGAAUUCAAGAACUUAUGCACAUUACCUAUUUGAGGCAUUUGAUACUAACAGGAAUGGCUGUUUGAGUUUUAAGGCAUGUUGGGCUGAUCCUGCAGUGUCUCUGUGAUCACCGGUUGUUCCCCAAGGCUGAAAAUACCAAUAUUUGGUGCAUUUCCUUGGCUACAUCAUCAAAUCCCAGGGUGUGUAGAUAAAUUAAAAGAAGGUGGAUGCCGUGGAAUUGUGACCUCCUCCAUUCUUCUUAAGGAAAACCCCAAAUCAUUGGAUUUUACCAAGGAGGCUACUACAGCAUUGCAGUCACUUAAGACAUUGUUUAUCACACCCCCUGUCCUUCAACAUCCAUAUCUAGAACUGCACGUUGUGGUUAGGGUUGCAUGCUUCAUCCAUGGGAGUAGGGGCAGUGUUAUCCAAAUGGAAUAAAGCUUUCUCUAACCUCCAUCCAUGCACUUUCUUUUCUAAGAAGCUGUUCUUCUAGGACACCUACUGUAUGAGUGGACUUUGCCACAAACUUGCCAUCAUCAGAAGGAUAUAUGACAAUCCUGGUGCUAGUAGAUAUAUUUCAGAAUACUGAACUAUUGUUUUAACACAUUUUCCAGAACUGUGGCAUCAACUGAGGAGAUUGUAUCUGACAGAGGACCGCAGUUCAUCUUGCAUGUAUGGAAAGCCUUCUGCUGACUACUAGGUAUGACAAUUUGUCAUAUGGUUACCAUCCAAAGACAAACAGCCAAAUGGAGCACAAGAUACAAUAGGUGACACAUUACAAGUGCACAUAUUGCCAUGACCAGCAGGACCAAUAGAGUCAUUUUAUUCCCUGGGCCGUGUAUGUAUAAAUCUCCCUCAAACAGUCCACCACAGGGUGAACACCCUUCUGGUGCAUAUCUUGGCUUUCAACCACCACUUUUCCCCUGGACCAGAGAGCCAUCAGAGGUACCUGCUGUUGACCAUUGGUUUCACCAGAGUAAGAGGGUUUGGGAUUCUUCACAUUCACCUUCAGAGAGCAUUAUGCCGGCAUCAGAGCCAGGAGCCACAUGUACUAGCUACAAACCUAGGCAGAAAGUCUAGCUCUCAACCAGAGACAUCUGGCUAUGGCUCAGUUCAAAGAAGUUAAGUCCUCAUUUCAUCAGCCCAUUCAUCAUUACUCAUCAAAACAAUCCUAUCACUUACAGACUGUAACAUUGACUUCAUUAUAAAAUUCACUCCACUUCCAUGUCCACAGAGCCACGGGGUUAACCCUCUGGAGUCGAUUAACGCGUAUACGCGUUUUGGGGUACUUUCUCCUGAUAACCCCGAAAAGAACUUAAAUUACACUUUCAGUUUUGAUCGUACAGAUAAGUGCAAUACAUCAAUCGAAUCUGUAAAGGGUCUACUUUUUUUUGUAUACAGA